AGAGUUUGAUCCUGGCUCAGGAUGAACGCUGGCGGCGUGCCUAAUACAUGCAAGUCGAACGAAACUUCUUUAUCACCGAGUGCUUGCACUCACCGAUAAAGAGUUGAGUGGCGAACGGGUGAGUAACACGUGGGCAACCUGCCCAAAAGAGGGGGAUAACACUUGGAAACAGGUGCUAAUACCGCAUAACCAUAGUUACCGCAUGGUAACUAUGUAAAAGGUGGCUAUGCUACCGCUUUUGGAUGGGCCCGCGGCGCAUUAGCUAGUUGGUGAGGUAAAGGCUUACCAAGGCAAUGAUGCGUAGCCGAACUGAGAGGUUGAUCGGCCACAUUGGGACUGAGACACGGCCCAAACUCCUACGGGAGGCAGCAGUAGGGAAUCUUCCACAAUGGGCGAAAGCCUGAUGGAGCAACGCCGCGUGGGUGAAGAAGGUCUUCGGAUCGUAAAACCCUGUUGUUAGAGAAGAAAGUGCGUGAGAGUAACUGUUCACGUUUCGACGGUAUCUAACCAGAAAGCCACGGCUAACUACGUGCCAGCAGCCGCGGUAAUACGUAGGUGGCAAGCGUUAUCCGGAUUUAUUGGGCGUAAAGGGAACGCAGGCGGUCUUUUAAGUCUGAUGUGAAAGCCUUCGGCUUAACCGGAGUAGUGCAUUGGAAACUGGGAGACUUGAGUGCAGAAGAGGAGAGUGGAACUCCAUGUGUAGCGGUGAAAUGCGUAGAUAUAUGGAAGAACACCAGUGGCGAAAGCGGCUCUCUGGUCUGUAACUGACGCUGAGGUUCGAAAGCGUGGGUAGCAAACAGGAUUAGAUACCCUGGUAGUCCACGCCGUAAACGAUGAAUGCUAAGUGUUGGAGGGUUUCCGCCCUUCAGUGCUGCAGCUAACGCAAUAAGCAUUCCGCCUGGGGAGUACGACCGCAAGGUUGAAACUCAAAGGAAUUGACGGGGGCCCGCACAAGCGGUGGAGCAUGUGGUUUAAUUCGAAGCAACGCGAAGAACCUUACCAGGUCUUGACAUCUUCUGACAAUCCUAGAGAUAGGACUUUCCCUUCGGGGACAGAAUGACAGGUGGUGCAUGGUUGUCGUCAGCUCGUGUCGUGAGAUGUUGGGUUAAGUCCCGCAACGAGCGCAACCCUUAUUGUUAGUUGCCAGCAUUAAGUUGGGCACUCUAGCAAGACUGCCGGUGACAAACCGGAGGAAGGUGGGGAUGACGUCAAAUCAUCAUGCCCCUUAUGACCUGGGCUACACACGUGCUACAAUGGACGGUACAACGAGUCGCAAGAUCGCGAGGUUUAGCAAAUCUCUUAAAGCCGUUCUCAGUUCGGAUUGUAGGCUGCAACUCGCCUACAUGAAGUCGGAAUCGCUAGUAAUCGCGGAUCAGCAUGCCGCGGUGAAUACGUUCCCGGGCCUUGUACACACCGCCCGUCACACCAUGAGAGUUUGUAACACCCAAAGCCGGUGGGGUAACCUUUUGGAGCCAGCCGUCUAAGGUGGGACAGAUGAUUGGGGUGAAGUCGUAACAAGGUAGCCGUAGGAGAACCUGCGGCUG
rnacentral:rRNA from 1 species